CUUCUUUUCUUGGUGAAAUGCGACCAAGGUCAGAGGGACGAGUUCAAUGCCCAAUGGCUGUUUGAGAAAACAAAGGUUAUGGUAAAGUUUGAACCAAUUAGCGAAGCUGAUGGAAGUGCUUUGCCUGUUGCUGAUCAUAUAAAUGGAAGACUUCCUGUUUUAUACCAUGUCCUUUGACUUAGAAUGUCUGAUUGCUUGUUGGUUUCCCAAACUAUUCUUAGUGUGAAUGCAUUGUUUCCUUCAAUUGGAUAAAUUCAUUUCGUGUUAGCCCAAUGGCUAUUGAUGGUUUCAAGGCAUCCCAAUAGCUAUGAUGGUUUUAAGGCAAUCUCGUAUACAAGUUGAAUGGUAAUUUAUUAUCUUCUCUUUAUUGAGAAA